UGCUACUUGAGGAGACAACAUGUCUGUUUGGUUUGUUCACUGCUUUCCUCCACAUUUCCUCGACAGACUUCUACUAAGACAGCUGAUCCCAGUGUGAGAUUCCUCCUCACACAGAGCAGCUGAAUCCCACUGAAACUGCUGAGACCUGGGACAAGGCAAGACAGCCGGUGAAGUAUUGGAUCUUCCUGUCUGGACUGCCUUGCCGGCUGGAGACUGACUGAGGCAGAUACAUGAUUCUAACUGGUAAGUGAUCUGG